rnacentral:rRNA from 1 species
GCCAGCAGGCAUAUCACUUUGCAACUCACAACUGGCAACCCACUGAAGCUAAGCAGGUGUGAGCCUGGUCAGUACCUGGAUGGGAGACCUCCUGGGAAAAACUAAGUUGCUGCUGGAA